CAGCUCCAAUAGUGUAUGCUAAAGUUGUUGCGGUUGAAAAGCUCGUAGUUGGAUCUAGGGUGCUGGUCGGUGGUCCGCCGCAAGGUGUGUACUGUCGGCCGGUCUCUUUUUUCUGGUUUUCCGGCGGUUCUCUUAACUGAGUGUCGUCGGUGGCCAGUGCGUUUACUUUGAAAAAAUUAGAGUGUUUAAAGCAGGCUGUUUGCCUGAAUAUCGGUGCAUGGAAUAAUGGAAUAGGACCUCGAGUCUAUUUUGUUGGUUUUCGGAAGCGAGGUAAUGAUUAAGAGGGACAGACGGGGGCAUCCGUACUCUGCCGUUAGAGGUGAAAUUCUUGGAUCGGCGGAAGACGAACUAUUGCGAAAGCAUUUGCCAAGAAUGUUUUCUUUAAUCAAGAGCGAAAGUCAGAGGUUCGAAGACGAUCAGAUACCGUCCUAGUUCUGACCAUAAACGAUGCCAACUAGCGAUCCGCCGGCGUUACCAUGACGACUCGGCGGGUAGCUCCCGGGAAACCAAAGUCUUUGGGUUCCGGGGGAAGUAUGGUUGCAAAGCUGAAACUUAAAGGAAUUGACGGAAGGGCACCACCAGGAGUGGAGCCUGCGGCUUAAUUUGACUCAACACGGGGAAACUCACCCGGCCCGGACACAGGUAGGAUUGACAGAUUGAGAGCUCUUUCUUGAUUCUG
rnacentral:rRNA from 1 species